CUCGCUCGACCCACUUGACAGUUCCGCCAUCUCUGGCACGAACGCCAGACGCCCCUUCAGAUCCGCGACUUCGUUCCCGACGACGCCUACGUGGCCCGGCGACCAGGAGAGGAUGAUUGAGGUGCUCACACAGGAUCACCUUCGACCUCCCAUCCCACUGUCUCCCUGCGACUCCGGCGCCUACCAGACCCGACUCGCCCAUAGAUCCGUCCGAAUAGACGAGGAGGGAGCCAAUGGGGAGGGACUGGACGGCUUGGCCGUGCUCGGUCGUACCACGCCGCACCUGCCCACAACAACCUCGGCACGACACAGGCGACGACGAGCUGACGGGCGAGUCGCGGUUUGAGGCCGGCUUUGGAGCGCGUCACGAGGGCGAUUGCGGUGGCCGAGGCGGAUGCGCGGGAAGCGCAGGAUGCGGUGUGGGGGCGGAACGACAAUCGAUGUUCACGUCGUCGAUCCAGCCAAAUCCGCAUGUCGACGCUGAUUCGCAGGACUCGAGGAGCGGCGAGUUGUAGAUGAGGAAGAGGAUGGGUGACAGCGGGUGCAGGACCGGUCCGACAAGAACGAGCGGAUCCAGCGGUAGGCGUGAUCGGGCAGGCCGCGGGACUUGAGGUUCUCCACGACCGCAUCUUCCGCCGACCUCCGCUUCCAUCCGCCGAAGUGCGAGGCCGGUAGCAUCCCGUGCGACUCGGCUAGGUGCGCUAAGCGAGCUGCGACGACGCGCUCAAGCCCCUUCGCGAUACAGCGCUUGAACGCGAUCAGACGGUCCGGCCAGGGCAGGGAUGUCGUUGGCGGGGAGUGCAGAACCAACCCCGGCCUCGUUUUCGUCUUCCCCUUUCCAUCUCCCUUCGCCACGUCGUCCGCCUUUGCCGCCCUUGUCGCUGCCGUCCUUGUCGCCGCCAUCCUCGUCGCCGCCGUCGUCAUCGUCGUCGUCUUGGUCGUCGCCGUCGCCAUCGUCUUCGCCGUCGUUUCUGCGGAGGUGCGUCUUGGCUCACUCGCGUGGCGGUCGUCUGCUUCGAGAGUAGCGGGGUGGACAAUAAACUCGGGGCUUACUUGUGCACCACUGACUCUCCUCCCUUCUUCCGCCUUUGCAGGUUGCGGUACUGGCCGGCGCGAAGUUGGGCAGUCGUGGUUGCGGCCGGGUGGAGGUUGGGUUUGCGGGUGCGCGGCGGGUAGUUGGGAGGGCGAGGCUGCUCGAGGAGGGUUUGGGAGGACGGUGAGAAGGAGGAUCGGGCGGAGGAGGCCAAGUUUGUCGAGGGCGGAGGUCGCCGUUGCCUCCGUCACGCUCGCCAUCUCGACCUCUUCCCACUCAUCCCUUUUCCUCCUCAUCAUCGCCUUCAUCACAUUCCUCGACCUCUUCUUCUCCGCCCACGCCCCUCUCUCAUCUUCCUCACGACCUGCGAUGCCUCGGAGUCUGAACGCGAGGUUUGCCGAGCGUCUCGCUGCCUUGCUCGCCUUGGCGAGCUCGUCGUCCCACCACGGGACUACUCGUCCGGCUCGGGCUCGGGCAAAGGGCGUGGCUGCGGAGAUGGCGAUCUGGAGUGCAUCGCGAGCCGAGCACGAGGUCGAGUGGUCGCUUCGGGUGUUCGAGGUUGUGCGGGUGGUAGGUGAUGGUGUUGGGCGCGAGGAAGUGCACGAGGUUGAAUCGGGAGAAAGUUGAAGUCGCCGGCGACAAUGACGAGCGAGGAGGGGGGAGUCGCGGCGAGCAGCGGUGGGAGGAUAGUGGAGACGGAAUGGUUGUACGCUCGACAUUGACUGCCACGACGUCGCCCGAAUCAACCGCGACUUGCGUCGCAGUGGCCGGACCGAGGCGGGUCGAGAGGAGGAUGAGGUUGUAAAUAGGCGCGGGUUCGUCGUCGGGGUGCGAGGUUGGUGGUGGUGUGACAAGUCGCCAUCUGGGAUCGUUGAAGGGCUUGAGGGGGCGAGGAGGUUCUUGGAUGAGGAGGAUGUCGGUGGUGGUCAGGUUGGGGUUUUUGCGGAGGCGGAGGAGGUUUUCUUCGGAGCGGUUGAGAUUUUAAGUGGUGAUUGCUCUUCUCCUUCGGUGCGGGUGCGACAAUGCGCCUCGCCCUCGACGUCACCCUCCUCUUCUCCUCACCCUCGCUUCUUUGCUCGCUCUUUGCCUGCGCCGCCGUCUUCGUCGUCCUCGCCUCCUCCCCCUUCUUCGAACGGUCGACCUUACGCCAUUCCUCUUUCUUUUCUCCGACUUCCUCUUUCGCUUUCGCGAUGGGGAAUUCCGCCUCGGUCUCGUCCGCCCACGAGCGGUCCGCCCCGCCAUCCGCCUCGCUCGUGGUCGGUUCGAAGUCGACAAUCGGCAUGGGGCGGUACUGGGUUGGGCGGUCGGUGAGCGGCGUCGGGACAUGAGACCAGAUCCCGCUAGUGGUCUCGGACUCGAGGAAGGGCAAGGGAGAUUGACGGCGGGCGGCGAGUCUUGGGGAGAGCGGCGAGUUGCCGACGAGGAUCAUGUCGGAGGUGGAUGGUGCGGAAGCGCCGGUUGAUGGCGUCGCGUCGAUGCAGUGGAGCUCGCUGGAGGGCGCUCGUAGCGAGGGCAAGAACGGAGUCUUCUCUGCUUCAAGAACGGUCCCGAGGUCGCUGUUGCCGGUGGAAGUUGCGCCGACGGCUGAUGGGGCGGAGGCGUCCUUCGAUGGCGUCGCGUAGGUGCGGGGGAGCUCGUUGGAGGGUGCUCGAAGCGAGGGCAAGAACGGAACCCCAUUCUCUUCAAGGACGGCGCCGAAGUCGUCGUUGCCGGAUCUCUCGAUGUAGAAGUCGGACAGUUCGGGCGGGAGGAUGGGCUCGAACGGGUUUGUGGGAUAGGAUAGGAUAGGAUAGGAUAGAUUCCGAGUUUGAAGUCGUUCAGGCCUGGAAAGACCCAUGUCGACUUGGGGCCACCUACAAGGGC
rnacentral:misc_RNA from 1 species